rnacentral:lncRNA from 1 species
CGAUAUCGCUUCGUCAAGAAGCUUUACCAUGAGAGGUGACACCAGCAUAGCCGCGACGACGUUGGUCGCGCUGUUCUCGACGAGUCCGAGCGCGGCAAGGCAGCUGUAAAAUCGUCACAGGUCUUGCGUCACAGAACACUCGUUCGAGAGCGACAAUGUUGGUCUUACUCCGCGGUUAACACCAGCAGCACGUAAUCGAACGAAAGAUCACCACCGCUGCGAACUCCAUCGACCACCUGCUUCACCGUUAACUUCGACCUGAUCGACCCCACGAAAUCGUCCCAUGCAUUCUUACGAUCCUCCGCCUCCUUCCGUCUGAGGGACACAGAACGCGUGUCGGACUUGAAAUCGUGCUUGACAGAGGAGCAACCGGGAGUUUACCUUUGCCGCCAUCGACCUUCUUGGAGCGCUUCAGUGGCACGCCAAACACAAGCUCGUGCUCGUAACUCAGGGUGGGUAUGCAGACCAGGAAGACGACGCCACCGGGCAUGCCUGCUCCGCAAAUCAGC